UGGGGAAUAUUGCGCAAUGGGCGGAAGCCUGAUGCAGCGACGCCGCGUGGGGGAUGAAGGCCUUCGGGUUGUAAACUCCUUUCGACAGGGACGAAGCUUUUGUGACGGUACCUGUAUAAGAAGCACCGGCUAACUACGUGCCAGCAGCCGCGGUAAUACGUAGGGUGCGAGCGUUGUCCGGAAUUACUGGGCGUAAAGAGCUCGUAGGUGGUUUGUCGCGUCGUCUGUGAAAUUCCGGGGCUUAACUCCGGGCGUGCAGGCGAUACGGGCUGACUUGAGUGCUGUAGGGGAGACUGGAAUUCCUGGUGUAGCGGUGAAAUGCGCAGAUAUCAGGAGGAACACCGAUGGCGAAGGCAGGUCUCUGGGCAGUAACUGACGCUGAGGAGCGAAAGCAUGGGUAGCGAACAGG
rnacentral:rRNA from 1 species